UACGUAGGGGGGCAAGCGUUGUCCGGAAUCAUUGGGCGUAAAGAGCGCGUAGGCGGCCCGAUAAGUCCGCUGUGAAAGUCAAGGGCUUAACCCUUGAAUGCCGGUGGAAACUGUCGGGCUAGAGUCCGGAAGAGGCGAGUGGAAUUCCUGGUGUAGCGGUGGAAUGCGCAGAUAUCAGGAAGAACACCGACGGCGAAGGCAGCUCGCUGGGACGGUACUGACGCUGAGGCGCGAAAGCGUGGGGAGCGAACAGG
rnacentral:rRNA from 1 species